GACGAACGCUGGCGGCGUGCCUAAUACAUGCAAGUUGAGCGAUGAAGAUUGGUGCUUGCACCAAUUUGAAGAGCAGCGAACGGGUGAGUAACGCGUGGGGAAUCUGCCUUUGAGCGGGGGACAACAUUUGGAAACGAAUGCUAAUACCGCAUAACAACUUUAAACAUAAGUUUUAAGUUUGAAAGAUGCAAUUGCAUCACUCAAAGAUGAUCCCGCGUUGUAUUAGCUAGUUGGUGAGGUAAAGGCUCACCAAGGCGAUGAUACAUAGCCGACCUGAGAGGGUGAUCGGCCACAUUGGGACUGAGACACGGCCCAAACUCCUACGGGAGGCAGCAGUAGGGAAUCUUCGGCAAUGGACGAAAGUCUGACCGAGCAACGCCGCGUGAGUGAAGAAGGUUUUCGGAUCGGAAAACUCUGUUGGUAGAGAAGAACGUUGGGGAGAGUGGAAAGCUCAUCAAGUGACGGUAACUACCCAGAAAGGGACGGCUAACUACGUG
rnacentral:rRNA from 1 species